GGGUACGGCGGGCCCACCGGUAGCAUCACCAACCAUUGCGGCAGCUCGAGAGGAAGCCGGUGUGAUUCCGGUGCGGUCGCGCCACUGUGACCCGGGAUUGUCACCGGGAAGCCAGACCCUCCGAGGCUGCCGUCCCGAC
rfam:Rhodococcus sp. RD6.2 genome assembly, contig: RHCRD62_Contig_2